rnacentral:rRNA from 1 species
GCACUUCGGGAUAAGCUUGGGAAACUGGGUCUAAUACCGGAUAGGACCAUGGCCUGCAUGGGUUGUGGUGGAAAGCUUUUGCGGUGUGGGAUGGGCCCGCGGCCUAUCAGCUUGUUGGUGGGGUGAUGGCCUACCAAGGCGACGACGGGUAGCCGGCCUGAGAGGGUGUCCGGCCACACUGGGACUGAGAUACGGCCCAGACUCCUACGGGAGGCAGCAGUGGGGAAUAUUGCACAAUGGGCGCAAGCCUGAUGCAGCGACGCCGCGUGGGGGAUGACGGCCUUCGGGUUGUAAACCUCUUUCACCAUCGGCGAAGCCGGGAGCUUUUGUUUCUGGUGACGGUAGGUGGAGAAGAAGCACCGGCCAACUACGUGCCAGCAGCCGCGGUAAUACGUAAGGUGCGAGCGUUGUCCGGAAUUACUGGGCGUAAAGAGCUCGUAGGUGGUUUGUCGCGUUGUCCGUGAAAUUCCCUGGCUUAACUGGGGGCGUGCGGGCGAUACGGGCAGACUGGAGUACUGCAGGGGAGACUGGAAUUCCUGGUGUAGCGGUGGAAUGCGCAGAUAUCAGGAGGAACACCGGUGGCGAAGGCGGGUCUCUGGGCAGUAACUGACGCUGAGGAGCGAAAGCGUGGGGAGCGAACAGGAUUAGAUACCCUGGUAGUCCACGCCGUAAACGGUGGGUACUAGGUGUGGGUUUCCUU